UCAAGGAGGCUCAAAGAAUUUGAGAAUGAACAAGGCUCCGUUAGGCGCGAAGCGAAAGGACUGUGCAGGAGCGAAGCAGAAUCCAGCUACGAAGGACAGGAGCGAAAGCGGCUCGACUGAGGUUAGGAAGGAGAGGAGCGAAGGUACUCUACGAAAAAAAUAUAGGUUCAGAGCGAAGCAGAAUCAAGCUACGAAGGACAGGAGCGAAGGUACUCGUAGUUUCAGAUAUAGGUUCAGAGCGAAGCAGAAUCAAGCUACGAAGGACAGGAGCGAAGCCACUCGACUGAGGUUAGGAAGGUUCAGAGCGAAGGUACUCGUAGUUUUCAAUAUAGGUUCAGAGCGAAGGUACUCGACUGAGGUUAGGAAGGUUCAGAGCGAAGGUACUCGUAGUUUUCAAUAUAGGUUCAGAGCGAAGGUACUCGACUGAGGUUAGGAAGGUUCAGAGCGAAGGUACUCGUAGUUUUCAAUAUAGGUUCAGAGCGAAGGUACUCGUAGUUUUCAAUAUAGGAGAGGAGCGAAGGUACUCGACUGAGGUUAGGAAGGUUCAGAGCGAAGCCACUCGACUGAGGUUAGGAAGGUUCAGAGCGAAGGUACUCGUAGUUUUCAAUAUAGGUUCAGAGCGAAGGUACUCGACUGAGGUUAGGAAGGUUCAGAGCGAAGGUACUCGUAGUUUUCAAUAUAGGUUCAGAGCGAAGGUACUCGACUGAGGUUAGGAAGGUUCAGAGCGAAGGUACUCGUAGUUUUCAAUAUAGGUUCAGAGCGAAGGUACUCGACUGAGGUUAGGAAGGUUCAGAGCGAAGGUACUCGUAGUUUUCAAUAUAGGUUCAGAGCGAAGGUACUCGUAGUUUUCAAUAUAGGAG